UUCAAUUGUACUAGAGUUACUUUUGUCUUUCCGACUUCCCCUCCGCCUCCGCCUCUUUGCACUUCCCGUCCGGCGUCUUUUGGCUCUCUCCUCCGUGAAGUUUUUCUGUUUUAGUUCUAAUUGAUCUUCACCCUUCAAAUUACUUUAUUCUCUGUUUGGUUUCUCAAUUGCAUGUCUAUAAUUGAAUUCCUCCUGCUGAAAUUUUGAUUUUUUUCUCAAACUUUUUUGGGUGCGCAUGUCUAAUAUGAUGCUUUUCUUGCUUUCUUUUGUUCCAUCUUCUUCAUUUCAGUUUUCGCUCUGCGAUGUGGUAGUGGUCUGUUGAUAAAGUAGUUGUCUGUUCCUGCAUCUGUUUUUUCGUACUUUUGGAUUCCGGUAAGUACUGCUCUUCUAUUCCCUUCUAUUUUUUUCCUUAGCUUUUAGCAUGCAUAAGUUGAACCCAAAUUAUCUAAUUUUCCACCCCUAAGAGAAAAAUUGACUGAGUGCAUUUAUACUCUUAUAUAAAACUUGCCUUCCGUGUCUUGAUGAGCUACAAUUGCCCCAGAACUUAAUCAGUGUUUGAUUUUAUUGUUGGAAAAGUGAAUGUGAUUAUAGAUGUGCUAUGAUUAUACAGUUGGCUAAUGUAGCGUCUGGAUAGAUGUACAUGGUUACUGCACAUUAAAAUUCUUUUUGAUAAGUUAUUGACCUCACACUAAGAUUAUUGAAGCUCAAAGCAAAAUGAACUUACCACUUUUGUUAUUUUCAAGAUGCGCUGUCAUUUUUUUCCUCCAAAGCCAUAUUGAUUAUUUAGUAUAAGUGAUCAAGGUGCAACAAACACUCUUUCUUAGUUGUUCAUUUGAUUUAAGGAGAUGUACUUUAGUGGAAAACAACAAGUAACCCAGUGAAUUCCCAUAAGUGGGGUCUGGGGAGGGUAGUGUAUACGCAAACCUUAUCGCUAUCCCGGAGGCAGAGUAUUCCAAUAAAAAAAAAGGGGUCUUCAAAUUCCUACAAGUUCUAUUUAUGAGGUCAAAAGUUGAUAUAUUAUUUCUUAUGAGCUUUUGCAUUAAACAUGCAAAGUGAUUGAUCUAUUGCUGCAAAAAUAUUUUUUUGAUACUAUCAUCUUAAAUUACCACUCAAUUCUACUAAUAAGAUCAGUAUGAAAGAAUGCAAGGUCCACUUUAACUCCUUUUAGAAACCUGCCUCUUAAGAUUUUUGAGACUAAACACAUGCCCCUUUUCUUAGUAGUCUUGGGGACAAACAUCUUCAAAUUCCCAAAUGCAAACUACGGAUAGGAGCUGAUCACGACCUAUUUGAAUAUGCAGGUUGUGCAUGUCUUACUGUAUUCAACUUUAAUUUAAUUUAAAUUCAG
rnacentral:lncRNA from 1 species